rnacentral:rRNA from 1 species
GGGGUGGCUUCCAUCUGGAAGAAUCUGGAGGACAGGUGCUGCAUGGCUGUCGUCAGCUCGUGUCGUGAGAUGUUGGGUUAAGUCCGUACGAGCGCAACCCUUGUCCUUAGUUACCAGCACGUUAUGGUGGGCACUCUAAGGAGACUGCCGGUGACAAACCGGAGGAAGGUGGGGGAUGACGUCAAGUCAUCAUGGCCCUUACGGCCUGGGCUACACACGUGCUACAAUGGUCGGUACAAAGGGUUGCCAAGCCGCGAGGUGGAGCUAAUCCCAUAAAACCGAUCGUAGUCCGGAUCGCAGUCUGCAACUCGACUGCGUGAAGUCGGAAUCGCUAGUAAUCGUGAAUCAGAAUGUCACGGUGAAUACGUUCCCGGGCCUU